rnacentral:rRNA from 1 species
CGGGACGGGUGAGUAACGCGUGGGUAACCUGCCUCAUACAGGGGGAUAACAGUUAGAAAUGGCUGCUAAUACCGCAUAAGACCACAGUACUGCAUGGUACAGUGGUAAAAACUCCGGUGGUAUGAGAUGGACCCGCGUCUGAUUAGGUAGUUGGUGAGGUAACGGCCCACCAAGCCGGCGAUCAGUAGCCGACCUGAGAGGGUGACCGGCCACAUUGGGACUGAGACACGGCCCAG